UAAAACAAAGACACAGCUUUGCCUUGAGC
rnacentral:sRNA from 1 species